GGUUGUGGCUCAGUGGUAGAGCGCUCACCUAGCAUGCGUUGAGGCACUGGGUUCGAUCCUCAGCACCA
rnacentral:tRNA from 1 species